rnacentral:ncRNA from 1 species
ACAGUACAAACUGAGCAGACGGCGGGCAAACAGCCCGUGCGUCGGGCCGCCUUGCGCGGCAGCGGAUGACCACAUCUGCGGGACAGU